rnacentral:rRNA from 1 species
AAACAUGUCUUUUUGAAUUAUAUUUAAAGUCUGACCUGCCCACUGAAUAAUUUUAAAUGGCCGCAGUAUUUUGACUGUGCAAAGGUAGCAUAAUCAUUAGUCUUUUAAUUGAAGGCUGGUAUGAACGGUUGGACGAAGUAUAAACUGUUUCAUAUAAAUUUAUAAUAGAAUUUUAUAUUUUAGUUAAAAAGCUAAAAUUUUAUUAAAAGACGAGAAGACCCUAUAAAUCUUUAUAAUUGAUGUUAACUAAAUUUUUUUUAUUUAUUUUAUUUUUUUAAUAUUAAUUAUUUUGUUGGGGUGAUGUUAAAAUUUAAUGAACUUUUAAUUUUUUAAAAUCAUUAAUUUAUGAAUUGUUGAUCCAUUAAUAAUGAUUAUAAGAUUAAGUUACUUUAGGGAUAACAGCGUAAUUUUUUUUGAGAGUUCAUAUCGACAAAAAAGUUUGCGACCUCGAUGUUGGAUUAAGGUAUAAUUUUGGGUGUAGCCGUUCAAAAAUUAAGUCUGUUCGACUUUUAAAUCCUUACAUGAUC